CCUACGGGUGGCAGCAGUGGGGAAUAUUGCACAAUGGGCGCAAGCCUGACCCAGCAACGCCGCGUGAAGGAAGAAGGCCUUCGGGUUGUAAACUUCUUUUCUCAGGGACGAAGCAAGUGACGUUACCUGAGGAAUAAGCCACGGCUAACUGCGUACCAGCAGCCGCGGUAAUACGUAGGUGGCAAGCGUUAUCCGGAUUUACUGGGUGUGAAGGGCGUGUAGGCGGGACGGCAAGUCAGAUGGGAAAACAACGGGCUCAACAUGUGGCCUGCAUUUGAAACUGUAGUGCUUGAGUACUGGAGAGGCAGACGGAAUUCCUAGUGUAGCGGUGAAAUGCGUAGAUAUUAGGAGGAACACCAGUGGCGAAGGCGGUCUGCUGGACAGCAACUGACGCUGAGGCGCGAAAGCGUGGGGAGCAAACAGGAUUAGAUACCCUAGUAGUC
rnacentral:rRNA from 1 species